rnacentral:lncRNA from 1 species
GGACAAAGUGAGUAAUAUGCAUGCUCAAUGACUUUUGAGUGCCCUAAUAUGCAUGCUCCAUGAACCAUGACUCCAAUUUGCAAUGAAAUUGAAUGUCAAAAAAGGGAAUUACAAAAAACCUUUAUUGUUUUUUGAAACUAUAGGUGCUAUCUCUGUCUGUGAAAGCUUCAACUCUUAGAAUCUGUGUAAGUCAAACUUUUUUAACUUUGAUCAACUUUAUAGAAAAGAGCAUCAAUAUUUAUGACAUAAAGUAAGUAUCUUAUGAAAAUAUAUUCUACAAUAAAUUUAAUAAUAUUAAUUUUGUACUAUAAAUUUGGUCAAAGUUUUAAAAGUUUGACUUAGGACAACUCUAGAAGUUGCAGCUUUUAGGGACAGUGAGGGACAGUGAGUAAUAUGUAUCCUCAAUGACUCAAAUUUCCAAUGAAAAUGGAUAUAAAAAAAGGAAUUUUACAAAAAAAGUUUGACCGGAAUCGGAUUUUUCAAUCAAGGGAACACCAUCCGAGAAUGAAACAUGCCGAAACCAACCAUUGCUAUGUUACUGUCAAUGCAACAUAGUCUGACAAUUGCUUACCGUGAUUUCCUCAUGGUGACACGGCUGUUAGGUUGCACCUUUUGAGUCCGCUAUCAGCACCUCUUAGAAAGCCGUACGGGACUAAACAAAACAUACGGAGUACUACGGGCUACAAAAACAAACGGAUCAAAGGAGCUGGGCUCACAGACAUUCAAUGGGCCCAAUGGCCCAGUCCUCCCUGUUAUGGGUGCAAUUUUUUAUUUUUACUUUUUUCUUUUUUGGAACUUGACGCUAUUCUUUGUUAGCUUUUGGCCUGCGGUAGCUCUCCACAACACAAUAGAUGUUGCGCACUCGCUAGAGAGUUAGGCACUCAUACUCUAUCAUAGAGUCUAAAGUUAUUUAUUAUCUCGAACAAUGUGGACUUGAAGUCUAAAUAAGACUUGGAGUCUUAUUUUUUCUAUCUCUUUCUUCAAUAAAUAUGCUGUCACAUCAGCAAAAUACCAUAAAUAAUAUAUAAUUAAGUGUCUUGAACUCUGUGAUAGAGUCUUGCAUUGUGAGUGCCCUUAGCGUCCGACCUCGAUGAGGUCGGCAACGUGCUUUGCCGACCACUUCUCACCUUCCUAGCGUACAGCUAUACAAUAUAGAGUCCAAAUUAUUGAUGUCAGCCUUUCGGAAAAUGUUUUUAAAACUUUGAAAAUAGUUUACAAACAUCAUCGUGUUAAUAAAAUUCCGGUUACAUCAUUGUGUUUCUUAAAAUAAAUCUUUCAAAACAAAACUCCCCACGUGGAUAUAUUUAGAUAUAUUUUUUUAUUAGAGGAUAUUUAGCUUGUGAGAAUAAAAUAUUCUUUUUUAUGAGGUAGAGACGAUGUUCUAGGUUUCAUAAACAAUGUUUUGUCUUAAAAAAAAACAUUCUAAGCUGAGAAGGACAAUGUUCUAGAUUUAAGAGAAUAAAAUAUUAGUUUCAUACAAAUAAUAUUUAUAACAUUGAUAAAAAAAUAAAACUACAAUUGCAUAGGUUAGAUGGUAUGGACGUUUAGAUAAGGU